UACAGAGGGUGCGAGCGUUAAUCGGAAUUACUGGGCGUAAAGCGCGCGUAGGCGGCCUUGCAAGUCGGGUGUGAAAUCCCCAGGCUUAACCUGGGAACUGCAUUCGAGACUGCAUUGCUAGAGUAUGGGAGAGGGAAGUGGAAUUUCCGGUGUAGCGGUGAAAUGCGUAGAUAUCGGAAGGAACAUCAGUGGCGAAAGCGACUUCCUGGACCAAUACUGACGCUCAUGUGCGAAAGCGUGGGGAGCAAACAGG
rnacentral:rRNA from 1 species